ACAUUGAGCCUGUGACCCCACAAAGCCUAAAAUAUUGUGAUUCUUAAUUUUAAAAGUUUGUAAGCCUGUGGAAAGAUGACUGCCAAGUCUCUUGGUCUGUCACAGUGAGACUGAUACUAACUUGAGCACACAGCAAGAUCCGUCCCAAAGUCAUGGGUGGUCUAUAAGGUAAUUGACUAAAUGCUUUGUGGCACUAGGGAAAGCUUAAAGGCUUGUGUGUUGCUAAGGAAGAGAAUUUGGGGGCAAGGAGGCAUAAAAAGAUACUUAAGUAGUGCUCAAACCAUGUCUUAAAACACUGUGUUUUUCUUUGAAACUGGAGCUUUUCUGACAGUGACUUUUAUGCAGAACACUUGAGGAUUGGUUUAUAUGCUGGUUAUGUUAGCUGCUGAUCUGAAUGAAGCUGUCCAGAGGUCAUUCAGUGUUCACCAAGUCACUGAGAGGUAAGAUCUUCUCGUCCUAGAAUCUAGAAUAGAGAACUGGUGUAUUCCACUUUGUUUUCCUAGUACUGUCAAAUGCUGAGUUUCCUACCCUCCAAAUCUUAGCCCUUGGAAGCAUCUACAGUCUAGCUCACCUAAGGCUGGCAGAAUGGUAAAAGAUACUAUGGGAAAUAAAAGUGCCUCUGCUAGGUGUGUGUGGCCAGAGUGUUUUUUAUAGAAAAUAAAUAAAACAAUAUUUGUGAUCUUACAGUCAUCUGCAGGACUGGGAAGUUGGUGUCUGGAUACUUUGGCUUGUGGAACAGGUGGAGGUAAAUCCUGGAGUUUGUUUUUUUGUAACCAAAGGGUUAUAAAUUAAUUUAUACAGUUGGUCAAAUUAGUUUGUUAAAAGUGGCUUGGUGUGGUAAUCUGCAACAAGAUAAGAGCACUUAGUUGUGGCUACAUAAGCUCGUAUGGUAGGUCUCAUUUCAACCAAUGUUGUGUAUUGCGCACCCUUUUAAAAUUGGGUCGAUUGAGUGGUUUAGAGGUUUUGUGCUGGCUACAUGUUUUACUUGCAUUGCACUACAUUGGGAUCUGUUGAAGAGACUUCUGUUGUCUUUAAAUCCCAGCAGGAUUCCCCCUGCCUUUUUUUUUUUUUUUUUUUUUUUUUUAAGCAUUCUAACUUAAACUGGUGUCUGUCCCCAGCCCCCAUCCUCUUCAGCCUCUUGCUCUUUGUGGUUCCUUUUUCUUGAAGUCAGUACUGUGUCCUUAUUUACUGAUUGUGACAAUACUGUACUAUUUCUAGAUAGAUU